rnacentral:rRNA from 1 species
GAUGAACGCUGGCGGCGUGCUUAACACAUGCAAGUCGAACGAAGCACUUUAACCUGAUUCUUCGGAUGAAGGUUUUUGUGACUGAGUGGCGGACGGGUGAGUAACGCGUGGGUAACCUGCCUCAUACAGGGGGAUAACAGUUAGAAAUGACUGCUAAUACCGCAUAAGACCACAGAGCCGCAUGGCUCGGUGGGAAAAACUCCGGUGGUAUGAGAUGGACCCGCGUCUGAUUAGGUAGUUGGUGGGGUAACGGCCUACCAAGCCAACGAUCAGUAGCCGACCUGAGAGGGUGACCGGCCACAUUGGGACUGAGACACGGCCCAAACUCCUACGGGAGGCAGCAGUGGGGAAUAUUGCACAAUGGGGGAAACCCUGAUGCAGCGACGCCGCGUGAGCGAAGAAGUAUCUCGGUAUGUAAAGCUCUAUCAGCAGGGAAGAAAAUGACGGUACCUGACUAAGAAGCACCGGCUAAAUACGUG